ACCUGGGUUCGGUUAUCCUGCCUUGGCCUCCCAAAGAUUACAGGCAUGAGCCACCACACCCGAACACUUGAGGUGAUUUUAAGCUUCUAGCAAAGUGCACCAGCAGGACCAGGAGGUGGCCUGGGCCCCCCCGCAUCACUCCCAUCCAUGCAGACCUAGGCAAGUCCCUCUCUCUGGAUCUCUGCCACCACUACAUACAAUGCAAGUAGAAAGUUGGGCAGGACUGUGGGUGGAGAAGGUAGAGGUCACGUCUGUCAGGCUGGGUGGGCUGGAGCCUGUCUUCCCAUACCUGGGACAUGAUCUCCAAGGACCAGCUGUCAGUCAUGAUGAUGGGCUGGCUUGGAUUGGCAAGGAGCUUGCUCUCCUUCUUGGAGGGAUGGAGCAGUGUGGGGCCAAAGACAGCGGUGAGGUUGUACAGGGACAUCUUAUUGACUGCCUCCUUCUCUGCCAUACUGUAGAGGACUGAAACAGCAGGUGCUGUUUCAAUACCACCACUGAGAGAGACAGAUGCCAUGCUGGAGUCCUCAGGAAGGGAGUGACCUCAACCCUGGCUGUGCUGCAAGCUGACUCCAGCCCUGGGGUCAGCAGCACCCAGCAAACAGCAGCAGGAGGAGCCGUGAGAACAGCCGCUCAUGGGCAGAGCUGCCCUUGGGCAACUCCCGCCACCACCCCCUCCCCAGGGGAGCCCAAUGCAGGAGAGGCUUGGUGUGGAAUGAAACAGGGGAGUGAGGGACACAAGGAGGUGGGAAGUGGGAGGGGGCCCCAGCCCCACCAAGUAUACAGAGACUCCCUCAUCGUCCUGGACACCACACGGUCACCUGCAUGCUGGGAAAGCAGGUCUUUUGUGCAUGGGCCUGGGGGCAGACCUGCCCUAAGGGUCAUGUGGAGACUACAGGUGCUGCACGUGUCAGCGCCCGCUUUAGACAUCAGCCUGCAGGUUGACUAAGGGUCAGGCCAUGUUUGAACCCAUGCUUGACUGGACCAGGACCCGUGGCUAGAGCACCUGGUCACCAGUGUUUAGCCCUGGUCUGCAGGAAGGAGGACAGCAGAUUUUAGGACACUGCAGCAUGACAGUGCUGACCAUUUCACCCUCUUGGUCUCCUUGAGGAAUAGGGACGGGGAGCCCUCUGGGGAUGGGCGAGGUCUUCCAGGACAGGCUUGAUUUUGGUCCCCUGCUUUCUGAGGUUGGGUUAAAACACCAUGGCAGAGGGGGCACAGCUCGGGUUCCCACACGUCACUUUUCACAGCCUCCAAUGACAGCAGUGCACGUGGAGGAGACGUCUCCCACAAGGCCAAGGCUUCCAGUGCUCACCG